GAUGAACGCUAGCGACAGGCCUAACACAUGCAAGUCGAGGGGCAACGGGGCGUAGCAAUACGCUGCCGGCGACCGGCGGAUGGGUGAGUAACGCGUAUGCAACCUGCCUUCAGCAGGGGGAUAGCCCGUUGAAAGACGGAUUAAUACCCCAUAACACAGGGGCUCCGCAUGGAGAUUAUUGUUAAAGGGAUGCUUCCUUCGGGGGUAUUCCGGCUGAAGAUGGGCAUGCGUUCCAUUAGGUAGUUGGUUGAGGUAACGGCUCACCAAGCCUGCGAUGGAUAGGGGAACUGAGAGGUUGGUCCCCCACACUGGUACUGAGACACGGACCAGACUCCUACGGGAGGCAGCAGUGAGGAAUCUUGGUCAAUGGACGGAAGUCUGAACCAGCCAUGUCGCGUGAAGGAGGACGGCCCUAAGGGUUGUAAAACUUCUUUUGCAGCGGAAUAAGUAUUCCACGUGAUGGGAUAUUGCAAGUACGCUGCGAAUAAGGAUCGGCUAACU
rnacentral:rRNA from 1 species